AUGAGAAAAAAUUUUCUAAUAUUAAAAUUAAAAAAUGCAAAUGAUGCUUGCUUAAUUUUUUUGUCAGUUAUGAGUAGCUCAUAUCAAGUAGAAAAGAAAAGAAUAUUGCCAGACUUUUGUUUCCACUGGAAUUGUAGCAACCUUAACUUUACUAUUCAAAGGAUUCAUUACUCUUCGAAGGGUUCAGAUUAA